GUGAGGAAUUUUCCGCAAUGGGCGAAAGCCUGACGGAGCAAUGCCACGUGAAGGAUGAAGGCCUAUGGGUUGUAAACUUCUUUUCUCAGAAAAGAAUUAUGACGGUAUCUGAGGAAUAAGCAUCGGCUAACUCUGUGCCAGCAGCCGCGGUAAGACAGAGGAUGCAAGCGUUAUCCGGAAUGAUUGGGCGUAAAGCGUCUGUAGGUUGUUUAAAAAGUAUUCUGUCAAAGAUUAGGGCUUAACCCUAGAUAGGCAGAAUAAACUUUUAAGCUAGAGUUUGGUAGAGGCAGAGGGAAUUCCCGGUGGAGCGGUGAAAUGCGUAGAUAUCGGGAGGAACACCAAAGGCGAAGGCACUCUGCUGGGCCAAUACUAACACUGAGAGACGAAAGCGAGGGGAGCAAAUGGGAUUAGAAACCCUUGUAGUCC
rnacentral:rRNA from 1 species